AGUUGACCUCGGAUCAGGUAGGAAUACCCGCUGAACUUAAGCAUAUCAAUAAGCGGAGGAAAAGAAACCAACAGGGAUUGCCCUAGUAACGGCGAGUGAAGCGGCAACAGCUCAAAUUUGAAAUCUGGCCCCCGUGGUCCGAGUUGUAAUUUGUAGAGGAUGCUUUUGGUGAGGUACCUUCCGAGUUCCCUGGAACGGGACGCCAUAGAGGGUGAGAGCCCCGUCCGGUUGGAUACCGAGCCUCUGUAAAGCUCCUUCGACGAGUCGAGUAGUUUGGGAAUGCUGCUCUAAAUGGGAGGUAUAUGUCUUCUAAAGCUAAAUAUUGGCCAGAGACCGAUAGCGCACAAGUAGAGUGAUCGAAAGAUGAAAAGCACUUUGAAAAGAGGGUUAAAUAGUACGUGAAAUUGUUGAAAGGGAAGCGCUUGUGACCAGACUUGGGCCUAGCUAAUCAUCCAGGGUUCUCCCUGGUGCACUUGGCUGGCCCAGGCCAGCAUCAGUUUGUCGCGGGGGAUAAAGACGUUGGGAAUGUGGCUCCCCCGGGAGUGUUAUAGCCCUUCGUGUAAUACCCUGCUUCGGACUGAGGUUCGCGCAUCUGCAAGGAUGCUGGCGUAAUGGUCAUCAGCGACCCGUCUUGAAACACGGACCAAGGAGUCGUCUUCGUAUGCGAGUGUUCGGGUGUCAAACCCCUACGCGUAAUGAAAGUGAACGCAGGUGAGAGCUUCGGCGCAUCAUCGACCGAUCCUGAUGUUCUCGGAUGGAUUUGAGUAAGAGCAUACGGGGCCGGACCCGAAAGAAGGUGAACUAUGCCUGUAUAGGGUGAAGCCAGAGGAAACUCUGGUGGAGGCUCGCAGCGGUUCUGACGUGCAAAUCGAUCGUCAAAUAUGGGCAUGGGGGCGAAAGACUAAUCGAACC
rnacentral:rRNA from 1 species